rnacentral:rRNA from 1 species
AUUGAACGCUGGCGGCAUGCUUUACACAUGCAAGUCGAACGAGCGGCGAACGGGUGAGUAAUAUAUCGGAACGUACCGAGUAAUGGGGGAUAACCAAUCGAAAGAUUGGCUAAUACCGCAUACUAUUCGAGCGGCCGAUAACUGAUUAGCUAGUUGGUGGGGUAAAGGCCUACCAAGCCGACGAUCCGUAGCGGGUCUGAGAGGACGAGGCGCCAAACUGGGACUGAGACACGGCCCAGACGCCUACGGGAGGCAGCAGUGGGGAAUUUUGGACAAUGGGGGCAACCCUGACCCAGACAUGCCGGGUGUAGGAAGAAGGCCUUCGGGUGUUAAAGUACUUUGGUUAGGGAGGCGGUACCUAAAGAAUAAGCACCGGCUAACUACGUGCCAGCAGCCGCGGUAAUAC